CGCGCAAGUGGGACAGUAAGCCAGAAGUGAAAUCCCGGAGCUCAACUCCGGAAUUGCUUUUGGAACUACUGACCUAGAGUACAGGAGGGGAGAGUAGAAUUCCAGGUGUAGCGGUGAAAUGCGUAGAUAUCUGGAAGAAUACCGGUAGCGAAGGCGACUCUCUGGACUGAUACUGACGCUAAAGCGCGAAGGCUAGGGUAGCAAACAGGAUUAGAUACCCUGGUAGUCC
rnacentral:rRNA from 1 species